GACGAACGCUGGCGGCGUGCUUAACACAUGCAAGUCGAACGGAAAGGCCCUGCUUUUGUGGGGUGCUCGAGUGGCGAACGGGUGAGUAACACGUGAGUAACCUGCCCUUGACUUUGGGAUAACUUCAGGAAACUGGGGCUAAUACCGGAUAGGAGCUCCUGCUGCAUGGUGGGGGUUGGAAAGUUUCGGCGGUUGGGGAUGGACUCGCGGCUUAUCAGCUUGUUGGUGGGGUAGUGGCUUACCAAGGCUUUGACGGGUAGCCGGCCUGAGAGGGUGACCGGCGACAUGGGGACUGAGAUACGGCGCAGACUCCUACGGGAGGCAGCAGUGGGGAAUAUUGCACAAUGGGGGGAAGCCUGAUGCAGCAACGCCGCGUGCGGGAUGACGGCCUUCGGGUUGUAAACCGCUUUCGCCUGUGACGAAGCGGGAGUGACGGUAAUGGGUAAAGAAGCACCGGCUAACUACGUG
rnacentral:rRNA from 1 species